GGACAUUACAUUUUUUUCAUUUUAGUAGUUUCUUUUAUCCUGCACCUGCCAGAAGGUGGGAUGUGCACACAAUUACUUGUUUAACAUACAACCAAGGAACCAAUCAGAACAUAACACACAUACAAGGGUAGCACAUGAUAAGAUGAUGAGGAGCAAGGAACACGUGGGAAAUGGAGUCCAGAGUACAAUGGCAAGAGUCUGGGGUGGAGUGCCCUCUAAUGGAGUUCAUGGGCACUCCAGCUGCCAAUCGUAACAUAGCCCCCUCCUUAAGGAGCGGCUUCCAGAAAGCCAAGGCAGAGACGAAGGAGCAGAGAGCCAGGGCGGAGCUGAAGAGCACCAUGGCGGAGCAGAGAGCCAGGGUGGAGCAGAAGAGCACCGGGCAGAGCUGAAGACCACCAGGGUGGAGCAGGCAGAGCUGAAAAGCACCAGGGCGGAGCAGGUGGAGCUGAAGAGCAGAGCAGAUUGGUCCAGAGAUCCCCACAGUGGAGCAUAUGACCACCAAAACAGAACAAAGGAGAGCAAAGAUCCCCACGGCAGAGCAGUUGUCCAACAGCAUAGAGCAAACGAGGCAGGUGACCACCAAGGAAGAUCAGGUGGGACUGGAACAGAGAGCACAGAGAGGUUAACAACGGCCUCUUCGGGCAAGAUGGGACAGGCGGAGAGUUCACAGAUGAACUCCAUGGCCGAGACAGGACAGUCAGAGAGUUCACAGAUGGUCUCCUUAACAGUAACAGGACCAGCAGGGAGUUCAGAAGUGGACACCGCUGACUCGAGGGGUUCUGCAGUGGAUGCUGCCACCUCGGAAGGAGCUGGAGCAGAUGCUGGAAAACUAAAGUGGCAUCUGUGAUGGCUAAAGACUGUGGCUUGACAUACAUAACUCUGAGCUGGCCUUGAGUGGCGAAAAUACAGGAAUGGUGACCAUAAUAACUGGACAUGAUGGUGGCCAUAAUGGGUCAUACUCCGCUGCCGCCAGUGCUUUACGAUGACCCCCCCCCCCAAAAAAAAUUUCCUUGGGGUUCCAAAGUCCUCUGCUUAACCCACAGUGAAGGGAGAGCCACAUAACAGUAGAGCAUAAUCCAUGAUGUCCUUCAAACUACCAUUAACCUGUUAACACGCACCUGGACGCGGGCGCACUGAACUCUCUUUGUUUGCACGUCAAUGUUUGCGAAUAGAUUAAAUGAAAUGGGACAAAAUUAAUCUUGACAAACUAUAUCUCAUUAUAAAGAUCUAAGCCUCAAGCAUCGACAACAGACCGCUGUUUUUCAGUGGAAAGCUUAUAAAGAAUGUAUUUGCUAAAUUUGUGUAAGCAGUACACAUCAAAACAUGAAGAAUCAAAAUGCAGUACAUACAUACCAGAUUCGUCGUAAUAAUGAGUCAUAAGCACAUCGACAGCUGGAAAUCCCGGUUUAGUUAGAAAGGUAAGGGUCCACUGAACGACAUCCCAUAGAGCAUGUUUAGUCCAACGAAGCAAUAACAUUGUAAUAUGGAUGAUAAUUCCUUUGUUUAUGUUAAGGUUCUUCAGGGACAGUAUUGUUUGUGUCCGUUAUGGAAUAACUCACGCUCAGAAAACUGCGUCUUGGUAGUAAAAAAAAAUGGUUUUGAUGAGACGAUCCACAAAAAAAGUUUAUUUGAUUCUGCCGCUCUCUUGUGACGUGGCUGUGAUCCACCUGUCAUCUGAUGGAGGCGUAACUUAGCGAUCGGUUAUUCUAUUUUUUUUCUUUUUCAACAUUUUUUAUAUAUGUGUGAGUGUGUUUUAUGGGGAAUGUGGCUGUAUCUGCAUGAUUACAAUCUGUUUGAGCGCAGAUCAGCAUGCUAUUACUGUGUAAUUACAGCUAUCAAUGUGAAUGCCGUCUAUAAAUAGAGUGAAUAGAGUGUGAUUAUUGACUUUAUGGCACAUUUGUAUGAUUACCAUCUCUAUAAGUGGCCAUCAGCAUGUCAACACUAGGAAUGUGCAUUUUAAGCACAAGUAAUAUUCGAUAAUCACUGGGUAUUAUUCAAUUAGUAGUCGAAAAUCGCACCCCUCCCAUGCAUGCACCCAUGCACUCAUGCAUGCAUAAACACACCCAUAAAAAGAGAGAGAGGGAGAUAGACUAUUCAGACUUUCAAUCUGUAUGAUAACAAACUGUUUAAUUCAUUAGAGAAUAGUCUAUCCUAACCCAGGCCAAUUGAUGGUUGUAUGAUUGCUGAAACAUAUUAAUAUAACAUAACCGAAUGACGGCACUUGUUAACAUAACAGUCCGUCGAUUAUCAACUGCUCACAAGGCUGUAGGAGCCUAGGACAUUUCUAUUUUAAAAAUGAGCAUGAACAUUAAUAGCAUUUUAAAAAAGGUUACAGAUUAAUUAAGAUUAGAACAGAUUAAUUAAGCCAUGAAUAUUAAGCUUAAAACACAUUACAUCUGCCCGAGUCUGACCCGAGCCCGUGUCGCUGUCCUCAUUACACAGCUGCUGUUGCAGCCAUUAUAAUAGUUUAGUUUUGGUUUUUAAUGGCAAAGUGGUCAUAUUUCGAUUCGAUUCUUUAUUAAUUUAAUUCAGAAAUAUGAUUGGAACAUUUUAUGUUUGUUAAAUUCAAGUUUGUUUGUUUUUAAAUAGCCUACAAAGAGGCCAGUGCAAGACAGUGAGUUGAGCAUUUUGAUCAGUUUAUCCUUCUCAAAAAAUAUAUAUAUAUAUAUAUAUAUAUAUAUAAAUAAAUAAGAAUAGGGUCAUAAUAUUUUAGGAAUA
ensembl:lncRNA